AAUACAAUCACCACCAAUUCUCGGCUUCUCUGUUCCUAAAUAUUAAAUUUGAGAAACCUGCAACGGAAAAAAGCUUCAAAAGAGACAAAGGACACACCUGAGCUAUAUUCAAAUCUUUACUUUUGAGAUAUCAAAAUUUCAAUUUUUUGGGCGAAUUGUUGGUCAACACACCCAAUCUCGUUUGAUUGGAUCCGAUACAGAUUCCACACCCUUACCCGAUGUAAUAGUCGUGUCCACAGCACCAAAAUUGCAGAGUCAAAAGAACCUUUCUUCUUCCUCCUCCUGUGUUUAUGCCCUGUACCCCUACUAAAUUUCGGGCUUUCCAAAUUUAAACCCAACGGCAGACCCUCUCCAAUCCUAGUUUCCUCUUCACACUUAAGGGUGCAUUCACCGCUAUUAUUGCCGUAAGAUUUAGGGCUUAUAAACUGUCCAAUUCGGAAAGGAAAGAUGUUUGCGACUGUGAUAAGGUACAUAGGGAGGAAACCAAAGCCAAAGAUGAAACCAAUUGAGCUUAAAACUUCACCUGAACAAGCACAAACUAUAACGAGGGCUAUCUUCGACAUCGUGAAGGAACCUGGGAACGAGUCAAGGAUGUUGGCUUGAGAGGCUUGACAAGCAAAAGACACAUGAAGAUAGUUUUAAGAUGGAUGAGGGAAAGGCAGAAGCUUAAGCUUAUAUGCGAUCAUGUAGGGCCCCAGAAGCAAUUUCUGUAUACCACUUGGUUCACAAAACCAAAUACAAUGCAUAUAAAGCCCGGAACUCAUACUUCCUGGCCAAAUACUAAGCAGAUAAUGCCACGAAGUGAGAUUUCCCGGCCAAAGUCAUCAUAAACCCUAUAACAUGGUAUGUGAUAUGAACCAAAAAUUUAAUGGGGCUUUCUAUUGUCGAAUAAUAAGAGAAACAAGAGAAGAAGAAAUGAGCAUAGUAUUCCAUUCACCGUGUUGUGAAGCUUAAUGGCCAAAUAUGGUGGCUGUUAUAGGCUUUUUUAACAGUUUGAAUAUCACAAGCUAGCUUUUGAGGUUGAGUUAGCACCUAGAUCCAUUCUUUACAUCUUGUUCACCAGAUCAGUUAAUGCAUAUUCCAUUCCCGGGCCUCUUUUUCCUUUGCAGGAUAUUCUAAAGGUUAAAUUUGGAGAGCAAAAACCAAUCAAUAACUUCUAUCAUUUUGAUGGGGAAGCGGCCAAAGGGACCUUUCUUCAAAUUGGUUAUUGAUACUUUGAUAUAAUAAAGAAGAAGCUGGAAAGAGCUGAUCAAUCGAGAAGAGUGAAGCAGUUGUUAGAUUUGAACUUCAUUUACUAUGUUCACAGUCCUAGAAGUAGUAUUAUUGUACACUGUUAGUUAAUAGACAGUUAUUCGAUCAGAUUCCUGUUAGUUGAAAAUUGCUCCUUUACUUGUUAUAGUAGACUAGUAGUACAUUCAAGUCAUUUCAUUCAUGUAGUAUAAAUAGACAUGUUAGCCAUAAUCAUUCAUGAUAAUACAAGUCAAAAAGAGUGUUUGGAGGUCACAUUAGUUUGUUGUUGUUCCUAUAAGAGCGUCAGAAGAACUCAUUUAACAGAAGCAUGUAGGACUUUUCUGCAAUUCUAGAGUUAAUUGCUUGAAGUAGAACCAAACACCACCUGCCUGAUAAAGCCUGUACUUCACGACAAACUACUAAAAACAGGUUGUCAUUGCCCCAACUAUAGAAGUGAAAGGUGCUUGGAGGCUAGAGGUGUACCAGUGCCAUACACUAGGUCGAUUCAGGACAUGUACGAUGGAGCAAAGACUAGUGUGAGGAUGGUAGGAGGAGAUUCGGAGCACUUUUUUGUUUUAACAGGGUUGCACCGGGGAUUGUUUCUUAGCCCUUUUUUUGGCAUGGUGAUGGAUGUAACGAUAAGUUGGAGGUUUGGCAACAGACCCUAGAAUCUAAAAGGGUUGGAGAUGAGGUUACUAGAGAGAAGGUGGGAGUGACUUCGGUGGAAGAUAAGAUGCGGGAAGUGAGGUUGCGAUGCAAGUGAUGAGGAGGUGCACGGAUACUCCAGUACGGAGGUGUGAGAGACUGACUAUGGAUGGUUCUAGGCGGGUAGAGGUCGAAGAAAUAUUGGAGGAAGGUGAUUGGGCAUGACAUGGAGUGAUUACAACUUAUGGAGGACAUGACCCUUGAUAGGAAAGUGUGGAGGACGCGAAUUAAGGUAGAGGUAGUGGGUAGGAGUGCGUCUAUAAUAGUAGGAAGGAGUGUCAGUAUCUUGCUUCUUUUAUUAUCUAGUCGUGUAUUAUCUCAUUUUGUUGUUUAUUUUUAUGCUUUUUGUUUGUUAUACUAUUAUCAGUCCUGAGUCGGGGGUCUAUCGAAAACAAUGUCUAUGUCUCUAUUUCAUCUGAGUUAAUGGUAUGGACUGUGUACACUUUGCCCUUCCCAGACCCCACUUUUGUGGGAAUACACUAAUUAUGUUGUUGUAUUGGAUAUUGAUUUGUGCUUAAUUAAUUUGUUUUUUUUAUUAUUUGCUACUUAAUAUUCCCUUUCUAAGAUGCUUGAACUCUCUAAAAAUGUUGCCACACCUGUGUCGGCCUCCAAAAAUGCACUACUUUUGAAGUAUCCGACACGCACCCUGAUAACAUUUUUAAAGAGUCCGAGCAACAUAGUUCCCUUUGACUGUAGAGAGGAUGUUGCUGUUGCCAAGACUCCUUCUCAGCACUUGGGAGAGCCCAUGGAUAUUAUGACUGCUUUGCAGCUGGUGCUGAGGUCUGAAGAAGUCUAGAGCUCAUGGAGGCCUCUCUCGGGGACUGACAUGAAGGUGCAAAGGUGAUUGAGAAGCAUGCUGCACAGCUUUGUGUGUUAGCAGAGGACUGUGACCAGCCAGAUUAUGUCAAAUUGGUCAAAGCACUCUGUGCUGACCACAAUGUCAGUUUGAUUACGGUCCCGAAUGCAAAAGCUCUUGGUGAAUGGGCUAGUUUGUAGGAGCACACCACUUAAUAUUGCCUGUUCAUGCCUUUUUAUCAACUUCUCGUCUUCUCUUAUGUGGCUGCGGCUGUGUUGUUGUCAAGGAUUAUGGGGAAGAGACUGAGGGUCUGCAUAUUGUCCAAAGAGUACGUGAACUCCCACUAAAUUCGCGGUGCAUAUGAAGACCUCUUUUCUCCCUACCAAAAAUGAUAAUCAGGAAGACAUUAGUUGUGUACCUCCAGUUGAUUUUCAGUUUUUAAGACUAGCUUAGGUAGAAGCUCUUACGCCUAGCGUCCUUCCAGUUUUGUUUUCUCAUCUGAAAAGAAUAUUUUACUUGCCGGAAAUCGGAAGCUCUUCUGGUUUACUAGUUA